AUUGAACGCUGGCGGCAGGCCUAACACAUGCAAGUCGAGCGGAUGAAGGGAGCUUGCUCCUGGAUUCAGCGGCGGACGGGUGAGUAAUGCCUAGGAAUCUGCCUGGUAGUGGGGGAUAACGUCCGGAAACGGGCGCUAAUACCGCAUACGUCCUGAGGGAGAAAGUGGGGGAUCUUCGGACCUCACGCUAUCAGAUGAGCCUAGGUCGGAUUAGCUAGUUGGUGGGGUAAAGGCCUACCAAGGCGACGAUCCGUAACUGGUCUGAGAGGAUGAUCAGUCACACUGGAACUGAGACACGGUCCAGACUCCUACGGGAGGCAGCAGUGGGGAAUAUUGGACAUUGGGCGAAAGCCUGAUCCAGCCAUGCCGCGUGUGUGAAGAAGGUCUUCGGAUUGUAAAGCACGUUAAGUUGGGAGGAGGGGCAGUAAGUUAAUACCUUGCUGUUUUGACGUUACCAACAGAACAAGCACCGGCUAACUUCGUG
rnacentral:rRNA from 1 species